CCUACGGGUGGCAGCAGUGAGGAAUAUUGGUCAAUGGGCGCGAGCCUGAACCAGCCAAGUAGCGUGAAGGAUGACUGCCCUACGGGUUGUAAACUUCUUUUAUAAAGGAAUAAAGUGAGGCACGUGUGCCUCUUUGUAUGUACUUUAUGAAUAAGGAUCGGCUAACUCCGUGCCAGCAGCCGCGGUAAUACGGAGGAUCCGAGCGUUAUCCGGAUUUAUUGGGUUUAAAGGGAGCGUAGAUGGGUUGUUAAGUCAGUUGUGAAAGUUUGGGGCUCAACCGUAAAAUUGCAAUGGAUACUGGCAGUCUUGAGUACAGGUGAGGUAGGCGGAAUUCGUGGUGUAGCGGUGAAAUGCUUAGAUAUGACGAAGAACUCCGAUUGCGAAGGCAGCUUACUAAACUGCCACUGACAUUGAUGCUCGAAAGUGUGGGUAUCAAACAGGAUUAGAUACCCCUGUAGUC
rnacentral:rRNA from 1 species